UGUUUCCAUAGAGCAUACUACUAAAAUUCGAGUGACAACAGAACACUAGCAUGGCCCCUGUGUAAGGUUGAUAAACACAUUCAAGAAGUACUCUAUAUUUUU